rnacentral:tRNA from 1 species
AGAGGAUUAGCUCAGCUGGGAGAGCGUCUGCCUUACAAGCAGAAUGUCGGGGGUUCGAAUCCCUCAUCCUCUA